rnacentral:lncRNA from 1 species
CGCCUACAUUAAUUAGCACCCAGAAGGAAGAGUCCUUUUGGGCUACUCCUCUUAAAACUCUUACCUAAUUCCCAUGGUUUCUCUUUAAUGGGAUGCACCUUGAUUUGUGUGUGUUGGAGUGGAAGAGUCCUUCUGCUUGAAGGCUCUUCCAUGCCCAACUAUAUCACAUGAUGAAUUAAAUCACCGCGUAUGGAAAUGUAGCG